rnacentral:lncRNA from 1 species
UGGAGACAACCAGCACCUUAAUUUUAGCCCAGUGAGACUUGUUAUCUAUGUAACUAUAAGAUGAAAAGGUUAUGCCGUUUUAAAGCACUAUGUUUGCAGUAAUUUGUUAAGGCAGCAAUAGAAGACUAAUAUAGAGUUAUAUGUUAAUGGCCACAUUAAACAAAAUAUAUAUCAUGACAAAGGCUUAAGAAACAUCUGGAAUAUUUGGAUGUCUUGGAUGUUAAGAAUCUUGGGUCUGUAAGUAAUAAGAAGCCAUCAAGAAAUUUCAGCUGGGGAUUUACACUAGUAAAAUGAAAAUUUACUUUCCAAAAUUAACAGGAUCAAUUUUCGUAGAAGCUCUAUUUAUAAGCACAAGAAAUUGGAAACAAGCCAAAUGUCUUUCAGCUGAUGAAUGGACAAACCAAUUGUGGCAUAUCCAUACAAUGGAGUACAAUGCAGCAUCAAAAAGAAACACACCGUAGACACCUGCAACAACUUGGAUUAAUCUCAGAGGGAUUAUGGUGCUGGCCAUGCAGGGACUUGGUCUCUGAAUGAGAUGAAGAGCCAUUAGCCUAUGAGCAGAGGAGCAGCAUAACAGGACUUCCGUUUUCAAGACACCUCUUUGGCUGUGAUGUUAGGAAUGAGGUAGAAACAGGGAGACCAGUUAGAAGGUUGUCACCAUAAUCAAGGUACCAGCAUGGGAGGGGUGAAAAGCAAUCAGCCUCCGGAUAUACUUUAAAGAGAGAAGAAACGGAAGAAUCAUCCAUGGAGUUAAGGUGAAAGCAGCACAAAUAGAGGAAAGUUUUAAAAAAAUUGUUCACUAGGGAGGUAUUUCCUGAAUAGAACUUCCUAACUGCAGCUACAGACCAUGUUAAAAGUGAUUGAUUUGCCUUAGCUACUGGCACAAAAUAUGGAGAGCAUUUCAAAAAGGUUCUUUAUAGUAAAACUUUGUUUUUCCUCUAUGACUUAUAAUAGUGAUUUAUUGAGAAAAUUCACCGUUUUCCAAUGAUAGAUGCAGUCCAAUCUUCCAGUUUAUAACAUUUUCUGAGUAACUUUAUCAAAUCAAGGAGUCUUUCUUCAUCAAAAUGAAAUCACAGAUAUACAUUAAAUAUGUGUUUAAGCUGGAAAGGAAAGAAAAUCAAAAUGAUUCUCUUAUUUCCCUGUUGAAAAGGCUUUUGUAAUCAGUACAAGUCUUUGAAUGGCGGUUCCUUUAAUCAUUUGGUUGGUAUAAAACCAUAAGUGACAUGCCCUCGAAAUCAUGAAAAGAAGCCAGGAAGUCAAUAUUAAGUUCACUAAUUACGACAAGAGGAGAAAAUGGACAAAAUUAAUCCACCCUCAUGACAGAA